AUUGAACGCUGGCGGCGUGCUUAACACAUGCAAGUCGAACGGAGUGGCGAACGGGCGAGUAACACGUGGGUGACCUGCCCUGCACUUCGGGAUAAGCCUGGGUAACUGGGUCUACUACCGGCGAGUGUGGGAUGGGCCCGCGGCCUAUCCGCUUGUUGGUGGGGUAAUGGCCUACCGAGGCGGCGACGGGUAGCCGGCCUGAGAGGGUGGACGGCCACAUGGGGACUGAGACAGGGCGCAGACUGCUACGGGGGGCAGCAGUGGGGAAGAUUGCACAAUGGGCGGAAGCCUGAUGCAGCGACGCCGCGUGGGGGAAGAAGGCCUUCGGGUUGUAAACGCCUUUCACCAUCGACGCGGUAGAUGGAGAAGAAGCACCGGCUAACUACGUGCCAGCAGCCGCGGUAAUUC
rnacentral:rRNA from 1 species